GGUGCGGUAGUUCAGUCGGUUAGAAUAACGGCCUGUCACGCCGUGGGUCGCGGGUUCGAGUCCCGUCCGCACCGCCA
rnacentral:tRNA from 1 species